CUGAGGACCAAGACCCAGACCGAAACAUCUGGAACAACACCAAGAAUAUGUUGAAACACAGGUGUUCCUCCUGACCAGUUCUAGCACGCGGCCUACAUUGCUGCAGGUUCCUUCCAUGAUGAUGAAGAGCUGUCGUGGGCAGCUGCGGUGGACAGGCUGCCGAUAAACCCAGGACAGCGCCCCCCACAGGUCACUGUAGCCACCCAGAUCCAAACUGUAUCCAGAUCAGAUGGUGGAUCAGCAUCUAGAGAUGACCUCUACAGCCUUGAACGUCAGCGGAGACGAGGACAACUAGAUGAGCCCCAGAGACUGAUCCCCAGUGAAGACCCUGUCUCCUAGAUGGCCAUCGGGACAAGACCACAGGAACCAGAUGAGUCUUUGCACAAUCUGACUCUGCUUUAGCCUAGAUUUAAACUGCUGGUUUUGUCUGGCCAGAGGAGAAUGACACUUUGACAAACUAUUUCCCCGUCUAAAUACUAUAAAGCUGAUAUAAAGCCACCCAGCUUUAUAUCAAGCUGAUGUAAAGCUGCUUUGACACAGUUUGCAUUGUUAAAAGUACUUUCAGUAGCUGUGGUCUACUAAAAGACUCAAAGGCAUCAGGGCUAAAGUGGAGAGAAAAAAGAAGCGGGUCUUUAGGAAGUUUUAUUCGUCCACAGGCAUCUUCCCAUUCUUUUCUCCUCUUCUUAUCGCUUGGAAAGCAGUGAAGUCUUACAUCGCUUCUCUUGUUGCGCUUCGACUGGAAAUUACAGCCAAAAGCCACACAAUGUGAUAUCGUAUCAGUAUUUUAUUUUGUGUUGUGGUAAAAAUCCAAAGACUAUAGAAAUAAGCGCCAGUAGUUCACUGAGUGCAGCCAUUUGACGUCAUCGAUGCAGAAUGUACUGUGCACAUAAAAUAAUGGCGCCUCCCAUAGUCCAAAAACGAUAUUGAUUUUUUUUUAAAUAACAUUCAUUUUCAUGGGUUUUUUUACUACCUAUCUAAAUAAGAGACAUCAUUUACGUUAUAUUAAGCUAUACAUGUCUUAAUACCCGGGGAUCCCUUUAAAGAAAUAUUCUAGGGUUAAAUAUAGCUAGCUCAAAUAACAGCACCUGUUAAUCCUUGUUUUCAUUUAUGAAAAAUUAAAUAUGGUAAAGCUUAAGUUGUAUUUAACCCAGAAUGGUGCUCUAAUUUAAAUCAGUGCUUUUUUUUCUUUAUAUUGGCUUUUGUGGGUUGUACCUUUAAAAAAAAACCUUCACUUGUUUUUUCUUUCAUAUUUCCCAUUAUUUCCUAUGGCAGUCAUUUUUGACCAUGAAGAAUACAAUUAUGACUUUUUAAUGACCAUUUGGUCUUUGACAAUCAUAUCCAACAUUUGUGUGUGUGUUCACAUAGCCAAAGCCACAAA